GAUGAACGCUGGCGGCGUGCUUAACACAUGCAAGUCGAACGGUGAACGAGGGAGCUUGCUCCCUCCGGAUCAGUGGCGAACGGGUGAGUAACACGUGAGCAAUCUGCCCUGGACUCUGGGAUAAGCGUUGGAAACGACGUCUAAUACCGGAUACGAGACGCGAAGGCAUCCUUAGCGUCUGGAAAGAACUUCGGUCCAGGAUGAGCUCGCGGCCUAUCAGGUAGUUGGUGAGGUAACGGCUCACCAAGCCUACGACGGGUAGCCGGCCUGAGAGGGUGACCGGCCACACUGGGACUGAGACACGGCCCAGACUCCUACGGGAGGCAGCAGUGGGGAAUAUUGCACAAUGGGCGCAAGCCUGAUGCAGCAACGCCGCGUGAGGGACGACGGCCUUCGGGUUGUAAACCUCUUUUAGCAGGGAAGAAGCGAAAGUGACGGUACCUGCAGAAAAAGCACCGGCUAACUACGUGCCAGCCGCCGCCGUAAUAC
rnacentral:rRNA from 1 species